rnacentral:rRNA from 1 species
GCUACACAUGCAGUCGAGCGAGACCUUCGGGUCUAGCGGCGGACGGGUUAGUAACGCGUGGGAACGUGCCCUUCUCUGCGGAAUAGCCACUGGAAACGGUGAGUAAUACCGCAUACGCCCUUCGGGGGAAAGAUUUAUCGGAGAAGGAUCGGCCCGCGUUAGAUUAGAUAGUUGGUGGGGUAAUGGCCUACCAAGUCUACGAUCUAUAGCUGGUUUUAGAGGAUGAUCAGCAACACUGGGACUGAGACACGGCCCAGACUCCUACGGGAGGCAGCAGUGGGGAAUCUUAGACAAUGGGCGCAAGCCUGAUCUAGCCAUGCCGCGUGUGUGAUGAAGGUCUUAGGAUCGUAAAGCACUUUCGCCAGGGAUGAUAAUGACAGUACCUGGUAAAGAAACCCCGGCUAACUCCGUGCCAGCAGCCGCGGUAAUACGGAGGGGGUUAGCGUUGUUCGGAAUUACUGGGCGUAAAGCGUACGUAGGCGGAUCAGAAAGUAAGGGGUGAAAUCCCAGGGCUCAACCCUGGAACUGCCUCUUAAACUCCUGGUCUUGAGUUCGAGAGAGGUGAGUGGAAUUCCAAGUGUAGAGGUGAAAUUCGUAGAUAUUUGGAGGAACACCAGUGGCGAAGGCGGCUCACUGGCUCGAUACUGACGCUGAGGUACGAAAGUGUGGGGAGCAAACAGGAUUAGAUACCCUGGUAGUCCACACCGUAAACGAUGAAUGCCAUUCGUCGGGCAGUAUACUGUUCGGUGACACACCUAACGGAUUAAGCAUUCCGCCU